rnacentral:lncRNA from 1 species
GGUUGCCAGAAACCUUGACUUUCUUUGGUUUGCAGCUACAUUACUCUGCUCUCUGCCUCUGUCUUCACAGGGCUGUCUUGCCAGGGUCUAUGCCUUUUCUCCUCUUAGAAGAAUGCAGUGACAGCAGGACACCCUGCAAUCCAGAAUGACUGGAUCUCAACUUGAUGAUAUCUACAAACACCUGAUCUCCAAGAUUAUGGUGAAGACGGGAAGGGCUCUCAUCUAGAAGGGAAGCCAGCAGGACCUUGCCACUAGCUGUCCUGCCCCCCUCAGCUGCUUGUGUUUCAUCUGGUGCUUAAUGGAGGCCCGCCUGAAGGAGGCUACAGGAGGACUAGCAUCUUUGCCCUUGUUCUUUCCAUUGCUCUGUGCAACAGAUCUUUGGUUGCUGAAACCCACAGUGGAAACAAAUGACUUGUCAAGGACCCUGAAGUAACAAACCGUAUGAACUUUAGGCCAUAGGAACCCUGAAGUUGCUUCAUUCCCAGGGACCGGAAGUUGUCAUGGGGGCUUCUAUGGCCCUUGAGAGGAAGAACAUGGGAUGCAACGCUCUUCUAACAAGGCCUAGAGACCAAGAGGGUUACCAGUGCACAACAUCAUCUAUCCAUGGGUUUAGUCACCAUGAGGAGAGAAGCUGUACGAUCUCGUCACAAAGCCUCUGCAAUGUCCUCUGCAUAUUUACUUUGGCAGAUGGAUCCGUGAUAAUUCUUAAUAAUCAGG